UGAUACAUGUGGAGUAAUAAUCAAUUUCAAAAAAUUAUUUCUGUGACAGUUUUCGUUUAGAAAUAUUUUGCUGCGCCACGUAUUUGAUUUAUUACUUUUAGUCCUAUUGCUGCAACCAGGCGAUAGGCUAAAUUGUAUUUCUUGCACUAAAUUGACCAGUCUUCUUUUUUACAUUUGUCAAGUUUAUCGCAUUUCAUAGGACCACAGUCAUCUGAUAACUAUGUUAGCAAUUUAACUUUUAGCUUGGUUUGGCGUGCCGGUUAUUUGAGACAGAAUUUAAAUGAAACAUUUUAUGCUGGAAGUAUUAGUUCCCUUUGCAGUAAGGGCAACUGUCAGGUGUAUAUGCAUACUUUGGUUACAUUUUCAUAAAGUAUGGUGAAUACAGGUAAACAUCUUGACCUGUAUUUCCACGGAAUACAGUCAUUAUGUAUACUACACCAGGAUGUAAAAAGACAAGGAGAAUUGUACGCAUGACGUCAUAUGGUGCGUUCAUCGGUAGCCGCUGGCAGUAGCUUCAUCCCCUUGCACGUGAUAAUUGCCAGGCUGGAGUUUUCGUGAAUUUGUGAAAAUUCGUGAGUUUUUCGGAAUAUAGUACGUUAUUGCCAUGGUGAUCUGUGCUAUUUGUGGGUGCUUUAUCACAGAAAGGGGCAAUGUUUCCCUGAAUGUGUAGGAAGUGGGUAAAGAACAUCUGCAGAGAAAUAUUGACCAUUUGAACACUAAAGUGUGUUCGCUUCAUUUUCAACAAAGCAGUUAUGUAAAGAAACCUCAGGCACAAAUUGUUCAACUUCUGCCCUACAAAUGCAAAAAAAUUGAAGAAGAAUGAUGUCAUACAGAGCUUACGUUUACCUCUGCAUGACAGUAGGCUACCACUCUUGAUUCAGGCUUGUGUUUAGGUGAGGGUAAUUCGGUUGUCCUUUCCGUCGCCCAUCGCCUCGAAAGAUAGCUCUCCAAGUUCAAACGACUUCGUGCAAUAUACUUACCUUUUCAAUGAAUAUCUGAUAAGGUCUAUGAUGUUUUGGUUUAACGUCCUUGUAUUGACGACUGAAGACUUACUUAGCGAGUGAAUUAGACUUUACCAGCAGUUUCUGUGGUACUGUGCUUACCACUUGGAUUACCUCAUCUGGAUUACAUCUUACAUUGCAUUUUAACAAGAAAACCACUCGAAUCCUCAACUAGACCACGAUGCUCCUUGUACCGUUGCACGGAGAGAUAGAAGACGUCUGGAACAAGCAAAUUAAAGAAAGAUAAAAAAGUGCGCACAGGAGAACGAAGAUCAGAGAUGGCAGGUAGGUGAGAAGACCUUUCCGGUCUUCUUGGAGUCAAGAUUCCACGAUGUCACUUGAUGCACAACUUGGAGAGCACACCUUGAUUUGGUAUCCUAAUUCCUGUUCCCUUCCCCCAACAACCUGGGAACAAGCUCCCACCGAGUCUAAUCAGCAUCCAAGAGAACUCACAACAUAUGUUUGAUAAUUAUUAGUGUUUUAUUUCCAGUAUUCCUAAUGGUUUGAAUUAUGAGACGGUGUUAAUGGAUAUUAAGCCAUAUAGGUCGAUGUACAGCAAGAAAUAGGCCUUUUGACAAACGGAAAUCGUCUAUCAUGUUCGUUUUUCAUUGUGGAUAUUGUGUGUGUAAAAAUAGUUAAUAUAUCCUAUACUGGCUUUCCUUUUCCUUUGAACUUAUGAGAGCUCACCCCAAGAUAAACAAUUGAUUCAGAUUUAAUGCGUAAAUGUAUUUGUUCAGGAGUUCCAGCAGUAUUAACCGAUGAACCUUAUGUGUAGGUGUAUAUGGAAGCUUGUAGGCUUCAUUUACGACUUGGCCGUUAAAGUAUGAA